rfam:Nomascus leucogenys chromosome 10, whole genome shotgun sequence.
UGUCAUGCUGUGACCCUCCAGAGGGAAGCACUUUCUGUUGUCUCAAAGAAAACAAAGCGCUCCCCUUUAGAGGUUUACGGUUUGAGU